CAUUGCGGCGGCNGCCCANGCCCGGGCUGUCGACGUGCAAGUGAAGACGUCGUCUGCGCGAUCGUGGCAGGCAGCGCGCGCCGUCACGGCGUGCCUCGGCACCUGCGCGCUCCUGGCGUCGGCCAGCGGGCUCCCCAUCCGGCCCGUCUUGAAACACGGACCAAGGAGUCUGA
rnacentral:rRNA from 1 species